rnacentral:rRNA from 1 species
UGGGGAAUCUUGGACAAUGGGGGGCAACCCUGAUCCAGCCAUGCCGCGUGAGUGAUGAAGGCCUUAGGGUCGUAAAGCUCUUUCGCCUGUGAAGAUAAUGACGGUAGCAGGUAAAGAAACCCCGGCUAACUCCGUGCCAGCAGCCGCGGUAAUACGGAGGGGGUUAGCGUUGUUCGGAAUUACUGGGCGUAAAGCGCACGUAGGCGGACCAGAAAGUUGGGGGUGAAAUCCCGGGGGCUCAACCCCGGAACUGCCUCCAAAACUAUUGGUCUAGAGUUCGAGAGAGGUGAGUGGAAUUCCAAGUGUAGAGGUGAAAUUCGUAGAUAUUUGGAGGAACACCAGUGGCGAAGGCGGCUCACUGGCUCGAUACUGACGCUGAGGUGCGAAAGUGUGGGGAGCAAACAGGAUUAGAUACCCUGGUAGUCCACACCGUAAAACGAUGAAUGCCAGUCGUCGGGUAGCAUGCUAUUCGGUGACACACCUAACGGAUUAAGCAUUCCGGCCUGGGGAGUACGGUCGCAAGAUUAAAA